UACGUAGGGUGCAAGCGUUAAUCGGAAUUACUGGGCGUAAAGCGUGCGCAGGCGGUGCUGUAAGACCGGUGUGAAAUCCCCGGGCUUAACCUGGGAACUGCAUUUGUGACUGCAGCGCUGGAGUGCGGCAGAGGGGGAUGGAAUUCCGCGUGUAGCAGUGAAAUGCGUAGAUAUGCGGAGGAACACCAGUGGCGAAAGCGGCUUCCUGGUCCGACACCGACGUUCAGGCACGAAAGCGUGGGGAGCAAACAGG
rnacentral:rRNA from 1 species